rnacentral:lncRNA from 1 species
UUUUUUUAUACCUCAGGAUUAAACUAUUUAUCCACUAUCAAAGGGUCUUUGAAUUGCUUCUGUAAGAAAUGAUAAUGAUUAGUUUUUACCCAUGACAGGUUCUCUAAGUCUCCUUGGUGAUUAAUACUGCGCAUUUUCAAGACGGUUUCUCACAAUGGCCCCAAAACAAACCAACCCACGUGGAAUCUGAAGCUAUGAACACCUGUCUCUGAGGAUAGGUCAACUGAGAUAACCAGAGUCCCAGAACACAUAUUGAGGUUAAAAAGAUACUUCUCCUUUAAAGAUUUUUUAAAAUGAAACAAAGAUUUGUGAUUUUUUUUAGCUUUGUUUUAUACAAACUAAAUUUUAUACAAAAGGCAUAUACAACUUUUUAAAAUAAAGAAGAUAAAAAUGGGAAGAAUUGGGCUGGCCCCGUGGCCGAGUGGUUAAGUUCGCGCGCUCCACUGCAGGCGGCCCAGUGUUUCGUUGGUUCGAAUCCUGGGCGCGGACAUGGCACUGCUCGUCAGACCACGCUGAGGCAGCAUCCCACAUGCCACAACUAGAAGGACCCACAACUAAAAAUAUACAACUACAUACCAGGGGGUUUGGGGGAGAAAAAGGAAAAAAUAAAAUCUUUAAAAAAUAUAUGUAUAGAUAUAUAUAUAGCUGACUCCAGAUCCUAGGCUUGUCUUUAGGUUUGACUUGGGCAACAUUUUGAAAUUAGAAAAUAAUAAAGCUGGAAGUUGCUCAAAAAGUUAAGCAUAGAAUUACCAUAUGACUCAGCAAUUUCAAUCCUAAAUAUACCCAAAAGAAUUGAAAACAAGUAUACAAAUAAGUACUUGUACACAAAUGUUCAUAAUAGCACUAUUCACAGUAACCAACCCAAAUGCUCAUCAAUGGAUGAAUGAAUAAGUAAAAUAUGUUACAUACCUACACAUCUGGAAUAUUGGAAUAUUGCUCAGCCAUAAAAAGAAGUGAAGUACUGAUCCAUGCCAUAACCUCAGAAGUACUAUGCUACAUAAAAGCAGCCAGACACAAAAGGUCACAUAUUGUAUGAUUCCAUUUGUAGAAAUAUCCAGAAUAGGUAAAUCCAUAGAGACAGAGCAGAUUGGUGGUUGCCAAAGGCUGGUGGACAGGGGAGUAGGAAGGACUGCUUAAUGGGCAUGGAGUUUUAUUUUGAGAUGAUGAAAAGGUUUUAGAACUAGAUAGAGGUGGUGAUUGCACGACGUUGUGAAUGUACU